rnacentral:lncRNA from 1 species
AUCAGUCUUUUUCUUUCCUCUCACAAUAGUUUUAAAAUUUUGUACUCGGACAUGUUUUAACUUUAUUCAUAUUUUUGUUGAAUCAGGUAAUACUUACGGUAUUCCAACCAUGGAAAAAAAAAUCAUGUUGGGCAUGGUGAGAACUUUUCAGUCCAUCGCAUUUCUACUACCUGAAGAAAAAGAAUUCGAGGAUGCAACAUUGGUCGAGUGGGUUCCUCAGAAUAAAAAUACACGUCGAGAGAUUACCAACAGUUUUUUAAGGAUGUUCUUUUCGAGGAUGGUUAUCUGAUGAGAGAAGAUGUCCGUCCAUUUUUCCCCGUUGCUUUGGAUAAAUUAGGAGUGAAAUUUUAUUGCGUGUGGACGAAUCUGACUGCACUUCAGACACCCGGAACGUAUCGAGUCACAGCACCCAAAAUAAGUGACACGGAGGAGGUUGAAAUCGUGAACAUCGUCGGUGAUGGGACAGUGCCGCUGAACAGUUUGCGAUAUUGCGAGAAGUUUCAAAGUGCAAAUGUCGUUAUUAAACAUUUUCAAGGGUACGAACACACCGGAGUACUUUACGAGACAGUGUUUCACGAUUAUGUGAUGUCAGUCGCUAAAGGAGCUCAAUCAUUUCCCUGAAUGAAGCCCAGCUGAGAAGUUCGUCAAGAAAAUUGACGACAAAUCGUACCGAAAUUAAUAAACGAGUUUCGUAAGCCAUGAGGUUAUGAUCAUUCGUUUGCUGGAUGAUAAAUGAAGCUCACAAUCAUUUAUUAGUAGACAGAACAGAAUGCUCUUGUAACUAAACCUUUUGGAGUUUUGAUUUCAGUUUGUAAAGAACCAUACCUUAGUUCGUUCAACAGCCCUUCUUCUCGGUCUGUACACGGCAUGCACGGAGAAAACGAUGUAGUGCUGGGCACUGACUAUUUAGAUAAAAUGGAUCCAGCUGAUAUGGCAGUACUGCAGAGACCUGCAAUCGAUAGGGCUGGACCCCAAAUUUUAGGGCUCAGCACCACUGUCAUACUAGCUGCCUCUAUUUGAUCUAAACAGUUAGUGCUCAGCACUACAUCGUUUUUCCGUGUACGGGUAAAAAUGCUGCCAAAAAAUGUCAUAUGUAAAUAUUGGAUUUUGAUUGUAAAGGAGGGGGGGGAGAGUUCAAAAUUAUGUUUUCGAGAAAAAAAGUUCUAAAACGAUUGAAGCACUCAUUCGUCCUUUCAAUCGAUUAAUAGUUUAGUUCAAUUGAGAAUUGAAAUUCCCAGAGAAAACUGUGAUAACGAUAAAGAUUUUACCCCAUUUCAGUGCUUUUCUGGUUUUUUCUUCUUUUUUCUAUUUUUCUUUUUUCUUUUUUUUCUUUUCUUCAUCUCAGUAUCAUCUUAUUUAUAGUGAAUUUACAAAACUUCGUAUCUCUAUUUACUGCGUUGCAGAUUUCCUGCGUCAAAUUUUAAUUAUAAUUGAAGAAUGGGUGAUAAAAUGAACAUCAAAUUACUUUUAUUCAGUUUCGUGUGAUUUUACUCUGACGUUUUUAUAUAAGUCUCUGUAAAUUUCAGAAAUGUCUUGUUUUCAACAAGGAAAUAAAAAGAAAGCAAAACACCGUUUUCAUACUUUCUCAUUCAAUGGAUAUACAUUAAUUUAUGGUCACAUUAUUACUAAUUAAUUUGGACAUUGCAAGUCCAUUCGUUGAUGUGGGGAGAGGAGAAAGACUAUAUAAAAAAUCAAAUCAACUUAAUACUGUUCAAGGAUUUUGAGCAAUCCCAUUUCACCGAUCCACUAAGUCACCCUACGAGUCUCUAUUUAUGUCUAUACGUUUGUAUAUCCAUGAGCACAAACUAUCGUUAAAUCAUGAAUUCACUGCUUUUGGCACAGACAUCCAUUAAAUCAUCGGUAGACAUGUUUGUUUUCGCAUCCUACAUUGAAGCAAAAUUUUGUGAUUCUGUGUAAAUUUUUAGAAGCAGCUCAUACUCGUGCAUAGAAUGUAGCAUCCAGCAUUUUCUUUUAAAAAGAAAAAUUAAAUAGGUUCAAAUAUUCCGCUCACGGAUAGAACCUAGAUCAAUCAACUUCAGUCAAACUGAUUAUUUAGGACAUCAGUAUGUUCGGAAAUCCACCCGGGUCAAGUCUUACAAAACCAUCCUUAUCCUUCUCUCUCCGAUAAAAGCACUCACAGGCUUAUAACUUCGCAAGUUACAGAUUGAUGCCAUUCCACAAGAAACAAUUGAGUUUUGGCGAGUAAUUAUAUAAUGUGCUGUGAUCAUCAAGCCGGGCGUUCGAUAGAGCGCAAUUUUAGAUGGAAGCUCUUGGAUUUUAGGAGGAUGGAAUAUUUGA